rnacentral:rRNA from 1 species
GAAGGUGUAUCUAGAAAGACAAAUUAGAGCUUGAAAAAUAAAGCAUUUCAUUUACAUUGAAAAGUAUAUUGUGUAAUUCAAUUUAAUUUGAUAAUAAAAAUUUAUUAAUUUUUUUUUGUUUAAAAAUUUAUUUAAUAAAAUUAAUUUUAAAUUAAGUUUUUUUUGUAUAGUAUAUAGAUCAAAUAAUUUAUAUGAUAGUUAAUUAGUAUUGUAAAAGAAUAUUGAAAUAUUUGAAAAAAUUUUAAAUUAAAAGUAAAUUUUAUAUAUUGUACCUUGUGUAUCAGGGUUUAUUAAUUAAAAAUUAAAUCUUUAAUUUUUCUCGAAUUUAAGAGAGUUAAUUUAUUAUUUAAUUUUUUGUUUCAUAAAAAUUUAAAAUAAUAAAUUAGAAAUGAAAUGUUAUUCGUUCUUUAAUAUAUCUAGUUUUUUAAGAAAUAAAUUAAAUUUAGAUUAUUAAUAAAUAAUUAUUUAUUUAAAUAAUAAAUUAUUAUUAAUAAUUAAUAUUUUAAGGGAUAAGCUUUAAAAUAAGUUUUAUAAUGAUUUUUUAAUUUAAAAAUUAUAGGUUUAGAAAUAGUCAUUAAUUAUAAAAAUGUUAUAAUUUAUUUUAAGUUAAAAAUAAUUUUUAUUAAUUUAAGUUUUUAUUAAAAUAAUUUUUAAAAUUAUAUAAGAAUUAAAAUAAUGAUAAAAUUAGUAUAUUUAAUUGUUUAAAAUAAUUAAAUUGAGAGGUUAAAUUAAGGAAUUUGGCAAAUAAAUACUCGCCUGUUUAACAAAAACAUGUCUUUUUGAAUAUAAUUUAAAGUCUAAUCUGCCCACUGAAAAAUUUUAAAGGGCCGCGGUAUU